UUUGAACGGUACAUGGUCUAAGACGAGGAUGAGCUUGCUGGCAAUAAAUCUUCGUCAAAAACUUCAGCGGAAACCGACGACAAGAUCGAUGCAGAAAAAGAUAAUUUAGACUAUUCAUCUCCUGAAGCAUCAAAUGAUUCAGAUAAAAAAUCAGACCCCUGUUCGAUGUACGAAAAGUGAAGGCAGAAAAAGUAAAUACUAAUCCAAGUAAAAAAUCAACUCUAGCUUCGGCUGAGGAUGGUAUAAAUGAAGGGGGAAACUGUGCAGACCGGCUAUCAAGGAUAUAAAAAAAACUUUCAUCUGUAUUCAAAACUGAGGAAUCAAAAUUAAAAAAAAAAUUACAUAUAAUGGUGCACAAGUGAAGCCAGGCUUAUCUCAGUCCUAGGAUACUUUAGGUACAGAAACCUCUAAAGGAAAUCAAAGUACCAAGCCAAAAGAACGUACUGAAGAUGUCAUUGCAGAGAUAAAUAACGAAAAUGAAAAUUCUCCGCAAACCCAUCGACGUAGUGCUUUAAAAAUCAAUAUUUUUUAGCUGUACAUAAUUUUGUACCAGAGAAUUAUGUUCAUUUAUCACAAGAUGAGAAAUUAAAUGUUAUUGGAUUAUUGCAACAUCAUUCAAUAGCCAAUCAAGCUAAGUUGUCCGUAAGAUUGGAUAUGAUUGAAGGCGUAAAGAAAAAAAAUCUGAUGACGGUGCCUCAAGUCAUGCAGAGAUACAGGAAUUUGAGAAAUAUUUACCAAUAACAGAUCCUGACGGUUUUAAAUUAUUCGACAAUGAUUUGUGUGACAGCGAGGCAUCUCGACAAGAUUUUUGGAACUACCUUCAACCUCACAUGAGUAACACAAAUUGGAAAGAAACUAUUCGUAACGUAUUGAAAAAAGUUAUGACUGAUUCACUGCAGUGUUUUUACAGUUGUAAGGGGCAGAAAGGAAAAUUAGCCUUUGCUGAAACUUAUUUAUUCAAAAUAAUAGAAGUUGCAGCAACUAGAUAUCCUACAAAUUCACAUGCAAGAGCCAAAUUAAAGAUUUCAAUACUUACAUUAGUAAUUAUUUAAAACACGCUAAAGAUCGUUUAGGUGUUAAAGGAAAAGAAAACGAAGCCGCAAAAAAUGGCAAAGGGAAGAAAAGUAACGAAAAAAGGGGAAAAGUUUGCUGAAAAAGAAGACAGAAAAAAAUACUGCCUUUUCACUUUUAGAUAAUCAGAUGAAUGAGACCGAGUUAUCAGAUGACUCCAAUUGAAAUGAAUCAUGAAUAUAAAAAAAUAAUACAUUUCAUUUUUUUAAAGCACUAAACAAUUUCCUCUUAUUCUAAGUUAUUUAUUACAUAGCAAAUGCGACUUUUUCAAUAAAAAAUUUGAAAAGUAUUACUGAUUAUAAAAGUUAUAAAAAAUUUGUUAAUUUAUCAAAGUUUUUAGAUUGAAAAUCAGUUAGUUAUAAAUUCAAUAAGUCACCGAUAAGGUAAUUAGCGACAUCUCGCGUUCUUUAAAGUAUACAAUAUAAAUUGGUGACUUGUAAACGAAACUGUACUUGUAAAUGUUAAAAUGAUUAAGAGAAUAGGUAUAUUAUGACACUGUAUGCGAUAUCUUCAAUUAUAAUAGCGAGCUAGUAAGCAGAUAUUUUGUAACAUUGAAUGUAACUUAAGUUUAAGCAUUAAUGAUUAAGAUUCUUUAGGUGAUUUAUUGUAUAAUCGCUUUUAAAAUUAAUAAAUAUCCUCCUUACAUCUUUGAAAAAA